rnacentral:rRNA from 1 species
AUGACCUUUUUUCUUGUUGAUUUCAUCAGAUGGUUAACAUUCCAAGCUUGUGCUUAUAGAGGCCACGACGAAUCUCCGGGAUCAAGUAAUCAGGGUAAUUUUCUUCAUCUUGUGAGGUUCUUGGCUUCUUAUAGCAAAGAGGUGAAUGCGGUUGUUUUGGAAAAUGCUCCAAGGAAUGCGAAGUACACCUCCCAUACAGUGCAACUAGAAAUCCUCACAUUACUUUCUAGUAGAGUUAAGGAAAAAAUUAGAGAUGAAAUUGGUACUAGCAAGUUCUGCAUAAUGGUAGACGAAGCACGAGAUGAAUCAAAGAAAGAGCAAAUGGCAUUGGUUCUUCGAUUCCCGAGCACCGAGGGGUUCAUACAGGAGCGUUUUCUUGAUGUAAUUCAUGUCACUGACACUACUGCUUUGACUCUCAAGAAGGCAAUUUGCAAAGUUCUUUCUGAUAAUAAUUUGAAUGUCCAAGACAUUAGAGGACAAGGCUAUGACGGGGCAAGUAAUAUGAGAGGUGAAUGGAAUGGAUUGAAGGCUCUAAUUCUAAAGACUGCCCUUAUGCAUAUUAUGUGCAUUGCAUGGCUCAUCAGUUACAGUUAG